rnacentral:lncRNA from 1 species
UUCCCAAUUGGCAUUUUCCACCUACCAAACUUAGAGGUUCUCCAUCUGCUCUAUAACUCAAACCUCACCGGUUAUUUUCCUGACUUUAACAGGAGCAAUGCCCUCAAGAAAUUGAAUGUUGCCAACACGAAUUUCUCUGGCCAACUGCCUAACUCCCUCGGAAACCUUCAUUCCUUGAUUGUGUUUGUCAUCUCAUCGUGUAAUUUUCAUCCCAAUGUUCCAUCUUCACUCGGAAACCUUACCCAGCUCAACUACCUUGACAUGUUUUCAUUUAAUGACGUUUCCAAAGGCAAGAUGGGAGAAUUCCCAUCUUUUGUGUCUAACCUGACACAACUUGAAUUUCUAGACUUGUCCGAUACUGAAAUAUCUGGUCAAAUCCCAUCUUGGCUCAUGAAGUUGACCCAGUUAACCAGUCUAAGCCUUGACGAGAACAAUUUGCAAGGACCAAUUCCUAGGUCGCUCUUCCAACUCAAAAAUCUUGAAUAUCUUUCUCUUUCCGGUAAUAACUUGAGUGGGUUGGUUGAGUUUGAUCAGUUUUCCAAGCUCAAAAAGUUGAAGGACCUUGAUUUAUCGAACAACAUGUUAUCUGUGGAGAUCAGAAAUGAUUUAAGUGCUACUCUUCCAAAGCUUCAAACUCUAGCACUGGGCGCCUGCAACUUAACAGAGUUCCCAAAAUUUUUGAAAAAUCAAUCCGAAUUGACUAAGCUAGACCUUUCUGACAACUAUAUUCACGGCCCAAUACCGAAAUGGCUAUGGAAUGCAACUAUUGAAACUUUGUGGGGACUCCGUCUCUAUGACAACUUUUUGACAGGAUUUGACCAAGAUCCAGGCAUUCUCCGAUGGACAAAUCUGAACUAUCUGGCUCUUGGGUCUAACAUGUUACAAGGACCUCUGCCAAUUCCCCCGCAAUCAAUCAGAUUAUAUGAUGUCGAAAACAACGAAUAUACUGGAGAAAUUUCACCCCUGUUCUGCAACUUCAAUAAUCUCCAAGUUCUCAGGUUGUCCAACAACAGCCUCAGUGGCAUGCUUCCACAAUGUUUGGGUAACUCUAGUGUUUUGGAAAUAUUGGCCCUGCAUAACAAUUUUUUUAAUGGAUAUAUUCCUCCAAUAUGUCCAAGCAAAACUAGUCUGAGAAUUGUUGAUUUUAGUUAUAAUCAGUUGCAGGGGAAGCUACCAAGAGGGGUGAUGAAUUGUACUCAGUUAAAGGUUCUUAAUUUUGCAAACAAUCAGAUGAGUGACAUCUUCCCAUCUUGGUUAGGGGCACUUCCAGAAUUAAGGAUUCUCAUUUUGCGGUCCAAUGGAUUUCAUGGCGUAAUUGGGAAGCCUGCAACUAAACAUGAAUUCCCAAAUUUGCGCAUCAUUGACUUAUCUAACAAUGGUUUCUCAGGUAUGUUGCCCUCUAACUACUUAGAGAUCUGGAAUUCCAUGAAACAUGUUGAUGAAAACCGGCAAACUUAUUUUAGUGUAUAUACGGAUGACGUCGAUGGACGUUACUUUGGAAGUGAUUACGCAAUGACAAUAAGUGGUAAAGGUGUUCAGUUGAAAUAUGAAAGGACCCCUUAUCUUCUCACACUCGUAGAUCUGUCAAGUAAUAGAUUUGAAGGAGAGAUUCCAGAAGGUCCCGUUGGGAACCUAAGAGGCCUUGUUUUGCUGAACCUUUCCAACAACUCUCUCACUGGUCACAUCCCCUCAUCUUUAGGGGACUUGGCUGCUCUCGAAUCGUUAGAUCUCUCCCAGAACCAGCUCUCAGGAAGGAUCCCGAGUAAUUUAGAACAACUCACUUUCCUUGCAUAUUUUAAUGUAUCCCAUAACCAUCUCUCCGGGCCUAUACCACUUGGCAAACAAUUCGAUACAUUCCAGGAGGACUGGUACGAAGGAAACUCAGGUCUGUGUGGAAAGUCUCUGCCAAAGAAAUGUGAAGAUUCUGAGAUCUCAACGCGGCCACCAUCAUCAAUCGUGGGAGAAGAUGAAGACUCUGUAUUUCAAAUUGCACUAGAUUGGUACGUGGUUGUGCCAGGAGUUGUUAGUGGUCUGAUAGUUGGAGUGGUUGUUGGGAACAUAUGGACAACAAAGAAGCACGAAUGGUUUGUGGAGACAUUUAGCAGGAGGAGGAAGCCAAGAGGCACACAAGGGCUAGGAGGGGACGCAGAACUUAGCUCAAGGCCAUGUAUCUGUGUGUUAUGUAUGCGUGUUUGGUGUGUCCGUAAGGGAAGUAUUUGAGCCUUGAAAGAAUAUUAUGUUGUUGUUGUGUGAGGUUUCGUGGUACCAAUUGUGUAGUAUAUUUUGCAUAUGUGGUGGUGUAAGUUAUUUGUAGAUGUUCAAUAAUAUAUUUGUAAUGUAUUUCUCAACAAGUACUCAAAUAUGUCUUGAGAAUUUGAAAUGUGUUUGGUUUAAUAAAGUGGAUUGCAAGUUAUGUCUUGAGAAUUUCUUGAUUCUAGCUGAUUAAUUGCGAUUGUUUUUUUUAUGUAUUUAGAGACUAACAAACUAUUUUAGUAAUAAGCUAACCUAAGCUUAAUCUUUGGUUAGCCUUAAUGACUUAAAAGUCUACAUGGAGAGAGACUCUGAGCAAACGACUUGACUUCAAGCAAUUUCUGUUCACCUUCUCCGUUUAUUAAUUUUUGUAAUUUUCUCACUUCCAAAUAUUAAUUUUUAUAAAAGCGAGAAUGGAAUCGCGGUGGUCAAAGUUUAUUUCUGUACGUUAUUUGAUUUUGCUAUUACUCAUUGCUACUUACUGUAUUUUAUCUGUUCAGACUCAGACACUUGGCCAGGUUGAUGAGUGCUCUGCCUCGUUACAAUUCAAGAAAAGCUUUGCAAGCAAAAGUCUGUUCCGCUAUUAAGGUGGUUCGGAACAAAUGCUCUCUCUAAGAAAGGUAUUAGGUUUGAGUCUUAGCAUUAUGAGUAAAUUUAAUAUAUUAUCGCUCCUCUUAAUAUGAAAAGUUCUUAAAAAUACAUGAUCUAAAGCCAAACUCACAAAACCCAAAAGAACUAAAUUUCUAAAACAACUGAUGUGCCCGAAUAAUAAACCACUCAUUUAGCCUUAGAGAAAAUGUAGAACAUGAGGUAGAUUUAGUGGUGGAUCCAUGAUUUCAAAGAUGAUUAGGCAAAACUUACAUGCUAAACUCAACUGCACAAGUAAAUUUUAUUAAUGAACAUAAAAAAUACACCUAGUUAAGGGAUGUAAUUAACCUUACCUUCAAAUGCAGAAAAGUUGAUGCCUAAAGGUAGAGAGUAGGAGAGAUCAACUAGGCAGUUAUAACGUUUCUUUUAUUAUUAUUAUUUUUUGGGUUGGGAUAAAGAAAUGUACUUUUUGUGGUUGGAAAAUUUUGGGCCGGGCUGUAGCCUUGUCCGCCCUCCAUGUAGAACCAUCACUGGACAUAUUGCAAACAAAGAUGCCAAACUGACAUGACUCAGACCAAGUCACAACAAGAUUUUUUUCACUAACCUAAAAAAAUAAAAUGGAAAUAAAAGAGAGUGGAGGAGGGAAAUGCCCUCCUCUCCUCAGCAGGCAACACAUUUGGGUUCACAAAUUAUGUUCAAAGCGAUCAUGUUCGAUUAUAGUUUGACAGCAAUGUUUGUGGUUACAUGCAAAAGACUCUGACUGUGAAACAAUGUUUCCAGCAAAGAUAAAUAUCAAUCCUGCAGACGACUUGACUUCAAGUCUUGGAGUGAUUGAUCACCGCCCAUUUUCCUUGAUUAUUUUGCAUGAGCUGAAGGAGAUGGAUUUUGUACAACUGUAAGUAGUGUGCUGAUUAGUAUAGUCUAAGCCUGGAACGAUAAUUGUGCAUGCACUUAGUCUCUGAGAAUGACAGGUGUAAGGUUGAAAUAGCCACGUGUAGUGAUCCUAGAAUAGCUAGAUGUGUGGCUGAGAUUCAAUAUGUUGUGUGUGAAUCCAGCUGAGGCUAACGAUUAUGUAGUACACGCUUUGUGUUGCUCAUUCUGAUAGAAGAGAAAUAUAGUCAUCUCUGCGAUUUCUGCAAGAGAGAAACAUUUAAUCACUCUGCAUUUCUUCAUUCUUCUAUUUUUUCUCUUUCAAGGAAACUUCGUCGUUGCUCAGACCUCCCAAACAUGCUACCAUUCAAAAGGAUUUCCAAAUCCCAUGUCUGCCUGGGUUGCAAUCCUCUGUGUAACAAAUUACAAGCUGGGGAUGACAUUGACAUGUGAGUAAUUGGUUUUUUUUUCUUCUUCUUUUUUCGAUAGUAAGUCAUUACCAGGUUGACUAAAUUGCAUUUUAAUGGCAUUAAAACUAAAGGUAUGUGCUUAGGGAUUGUGGUUAGUCGUUACCAUGAAACAGAGGAUAUUUUUAUAGUAAUAAGCUUUAUUGGCCUCCUUCAACUAGAAAGUGUUUUGUGUCGAGAGUUUAGGCUUAUUGGCCUUUAUCACUAGCUUGAUUACAACAGAAAGCUUAAUGCCUAUUUAUAGAGGGAACAAACCAAGUAGUAGAGUCGGUUAUUCUAGUAAACCGACAUUAACUUGUAAUUCCAACCACAUAUUGUAGCUUCAAUUAAGUUAGUGACUAGUGUUUAGGGAAUGCAUCCACCCACUUUGCAUUCUAAAUUAUUCUAUAAAAUUCAGCUAGCUUAUAGAAGUCUCCACCAAAUGUGCAUUAUUUUUCAACUCAUAAAUUGGUUCAAGACUUUUCAGCCUUAAUGACUUCAAGUUGUUGAAUAAGUUAUGAUCGAAGACGAUAAACUUGACUUCAAGUCAUUACAUUAAUGGAAGAGGAUCCAUGCUUAUGGAUACUGCCGAUUGCGUCUCUACCAUGUCCAUUUGAUGGGCUAGAGAGUGACUAUUUUGUUCAUUUGGGGAACCAAGACUUCUUUCAUGUUAAGACUGGCACUAAUUAUGAAUUUUACAAGAUUCAAUAUAUUUGUAUCACCACGUUUCAAAUUAUUUGUUCGGGAAGAUGGAAGACAUAUAAUCAAGCAUAAUCGCAAACAUAUAUCAUAAUUAAGCCUUUCAAUAUCUCACAUUACGAUACCGUCAUAGGCUUACAAGUAAACACGGCCAUAUGCCAUAAUUUAAUAUUUGCCUGCUACAAUUGAUCGAUCACAUGGCCUUAGCUUUUCCAUGUUAUUUUCAAUCUCACCCGCAAUUUCAGUUCGGAAGGGUAGGUAGUGGUAGUGUUUCAUUUUAUGACUCCAAUUGUCCAAGUUGGCCCCUUAUUACUCGAUAGACAUAUGGUAUGUGAUGCUGUUAAUUUAAUUCUGAAAAUUUCUUCGUCAUGUUUCGAUAAUAAAUAAAUAAAUAAAUAGAUUAAAACACAAGUAUCAUCUUUGUGCUUUUUAUUUGCACAUUAUUUAUGGUUAGCAAUUUGAAUGGUUCGCAGCAAAUCAAAUUGCAUAAACGUCAUUUGUAUGAGCCUCCUUGUGUAAAACUUUUCAGCCUCAAUGGCUUCAGCUGAUAAACAUGAAAUAAAUAUAUUAAAACCAGUGAGGUAAAUUAAUUAAUGGAAAACUUUAAAGACUUUGAAUGGUUAGCUUUGGAAGACGAUAAACUUCUGUUCACCUUCUAUAAAAGGAGUUUAUAAUUUCUCCACCCUUAAUUGUGUGAGAGCCAUAAUUAAGCAUACAUAAUUACAAAACAAAAUUGCAAUGGGAAUGGAAUCGUGGCUGUCCAAGUUCAUUUCUCUACGUUGUUUUAUUUUUCUGUCACUCAUUGCUACUCACUGUUUUUUAUUUGUGUAGACUCAGGCACUUACCCAGGUUGAUGAAUGCUCAGCCUUGCUGCAGUUCAAGGAAAGCUUUGCAAUUAACAAGUCUGAUUCUGCAGAUCCUCUUGCUUAUCCGAAGGUUUCAUUUUGGACGCGAGAAGGAGAUGAGAAUCGGAGUACUUGUUGUUCAUGGGAUGGUGUUGAAUGUGAUGAGGAGUCUGGCCAUGUUAUUGGCCUUGACCUCCGUAGCAGCUGUCUCCAUGGUUCUAUCAAUUCCAGCAACAGUCUCUUCCGCCUUGUCCACUUGCAGAGGCUUGACCUCUCAGAUAAUCACUUCAAUUUCUCUCAAAUACCGUCAAGAUUUGGUCAUGAUCUUUCGAAGUCUAACAUAUCUCAACCUUUCAAAUUCCUUAUUCUCUGGCCAAAUUCCAUCAGAAAUUUCAAAGCUAUCAAAGCUGUCUACCCUUGAUCUGUCUUUCAAUGGUCCGAAAUUUGAUGCUUAUGGUAUCCCUUUGAAAUUGACCAAGGGCAACAUGAGAAGCCUGGUUCAGAACUUGACCGCCAUAAAACAACUUCAUCUUAAUUGGGUAGAGAUGUACUCCACUGUGUCUGAUAUCUUGGUCAAUGCAUCUUCUCUAACGUCUCUCCGAUUUGGCUAUUGUGAGUUGAAUGGGGAAUUCCCAGUAGGCAUCUUCCACCUACCAAACUUAGAGGUUCUGGAUGUGAAAGGUAACUCAAACCUUACCGGUUAUUUCCCUAACUUUAACAUGAGCAAUAAUAAUUCUAUCAGAAACCUCCAUUCCUUAAAUUUGUUGGACAUCUCUCGCUGUCAUUUUUACCCCCUUGUUCCAUCUUCACUCGGAAACCUUACCCAGCUCAACUACCUUGAC